GGCUUUUUGAGAAUAAUUUAAAGUCGGGCCUGCCCAAUGACAGAGUUUAAUGGCCGCGGUAUAUUAACUGUGCAAAGGUAGCAUAAUCAUUAGUUUUUUAAUUGAAAGCUGGAAUGAAGGGUUUAAUGAAAAAAGUUCUGUCUUUAGCUAAAUUUUUUAGAAGUUUAUUUUUAAGUAAAAAAGCUUAAAUAAUUAUUGAAGACGAGAAGACCCUAUAGAGUUUAAUAUUUAAAUAAUAUAUUGUAUUUAGUAUUUUUAAGUUAUUUUUUUUAAGUAUUUAGUUGGGGUGGUUGAAAAAUUAAUAAAACUUUUUUUAUAAUAAACAUUAAUUUAUGAUUGGAUGAUCCUUUAUUUAGAUUAAAAGAAUAAAUUACCUUAGGGAUAACAGCGUGAUUUUUUUUAGAGUUCUUAUCGAAAGAAAAGAUUGCGACCUCGAUGUUGGAUUAAAAUAAAUUAUUGGUGUAGAAGCUAAUACGAUUAGGUCUGUUCGACCUUUAAAUUUUUACAUGAUCUGAGUUUAGACCGGUUUAAG
rnacentral:rRNA from 1 species